UAACACGUGGAUAACCUACCCUCAGAUCUGGGAUAGCUCCGGGAAACUGGAGAUAAUACCGGAUAAUCCGUGAACGCUGGAAUGCCUUACGGUUGAAAGCUUUAGCGUCUGAGGAUGGGUCUGCGGCCGAUUAGGUAGUUGCUGGGGUAACGUCCCAACAAGCCGAUAAUCGGUACGGGUUGUGAGAGCAAGAGCCCGGAGAUGGAUUCUGAGACACGAAUCCAGGUCCUACGGGGCGCAGCAGGCGCGAAAACUUUACACUGCGCGAAAGCGCGAUAAGGGGACCUCGAGUGCGUGCGCAAAGCGUACGCUUUUCAGAUGCCUAAAAAGCAUCUGGAAUAAGGGCCGGGCAAGACCGGUGCCAGCCGCCGCGGUAACACCGGCGGCUCAAGUGGUGGCCGCUAUUAUUGGGCUUAAAGGGUCCGUAGCCGGACCAGUUAGUCCCUUGGGAAAUCUUACGGCUUAACCGUAAGGCUGCCAAUGGAUACUGCUGGUCUUGGGACCGGGAGAGGCAAGAGGUACCUCAGGGGUAGGAGUGAAAUCCUGUAAU
rnacentral:rRNA from 1 species